GAUGAACGCUGGCGGCGUGCCUAAUACAUGCCAGUCGAGCGAACAGACGAGGAGCUUGCUCCUCUGACGUUAGCGGCGGACGGGUGAGUAACACGUGGAUAACCUACCUAUAAGACUGGGAUAACUUCGGGAAACCGGAGCUAAUACCGGAUAAUAUAUUGAACCGCAUGGUUCAAUAGUGAAAGACGGUUUUGCUGUCACUUAUAGAUGGAUCCGCGCCGCAUUAGCUAGUUGGUAAGGUAACGGCUUACCAAGGCAACGAUGCGUAGCCGACCUGAGAGGGUGAUCGGCCACACUGGAACUGAGACACGGUCCAGACUCCUACGGGAGGCAGCAGUAGGGAAUCUUCCGCAAUGGGCGAAAGCCUGACGGAGCAACGCCGCGUGAGUGAUGAAGGUCUUCGGAUCGUAAAACUCUGUUAUUAGGGAAGAACAGAUGUGUAAGUAACUAUGCACGUCUUGACGGUACCUAAUCAGAAAGCCACGGCUAACUACGU
rnacentral:rRNA from 1 species